GCCUGGGUGGCUCAGUCAGUUAAGCGUCCGACUUAGACUCAGGUCAUGAUCUCACGGUUCGUGGGUUCGAGCCCCGCGUCGGGCU
rfam:Felis catus breed Abyssinian Contig24119.1, whole genome shotgun sequence. [26-MAY-2016]